GCAAACUUGGUCAUUUAGAGGAAGUAAAAGUCGUAACAAGGUCUCCGUUGGUGAACCAGCGGAGGGAUCAUUAUCGAGUUUACGCAACUCCCAAACCCCUGUGAACAUACCUACGUUGCUUCGGCGGAUCACCCCGGCUUAACCGCCGCGGCCCGCCAGAGGACCCAAACCCGAACUUUGUAUUUUGCUUUAAACGAACUUCUGAGUGGAUUUUAUAAAUCAAAUCAAAACUUUCAACAACGGAUCUCUUGGCUCUGGCAUCGAUGAAGAACGCAGC
rnacentral:misc_RNA from 1 species